UUUCUUUGCCGCUUGUUGGAACAGAGAGCCGAACUUGUUGGAACAGAGAGGCGAGAGAAGUGUUGCCGCCGUACUUGUAUAUACUUGUACAUAUUACAGAUAAUGUUAAAAAGCCUCAAAAGAAGAUGCUUAUCGUUUGCUGAGAGAAACUAAAUUUAUGGAGGGCAAAAAGGAGAAGGAGUGGUAUUGGGAGAAGAUACAAGAGACCUUACGCAAAAUUGGCCUUAAAAAGACUAUUAUACAAUGGAAAAAGUUCCAGAAAUAUAGUUACUCUGGUUCACCCUAAUUUGGGUUACUCAGGACUUAAUGCCUUACUGCCUGCGCGAUCUACCUGACAUUAGCAUGUUGAAAAUCGUUUUAUAUUUACUUUUCUGUUUGGAAAUUUGUGCUCAUUCACAUACAGACUUAUUUACCAUAACUUAAAUCAAGCAUUGCGGUCAAUCAAGGCACUAGUACGAAUACGAACAGCCGUAAGUGGUAUUUCUUCAGCUGGGACAAAAACACAUUACUCGUUUCCAACGCCGACAAUUUAACCUCUGUGGAUAAUAAAACUUUGGACGAUGGAAGUAGAAAAAAUGCUACUGUCGUAGCUUCAAACAAUAGCUACGGACAAGAAGCAGCUUUAGAGGCGGAUGAACCUAACUCAAACGUUCCGCAAAUAAAUGCACAGAGCCCUCCCACUGCCAAACUUGCAGUAGGGCAGGAAACAUUGCAGUUUAUAUAUACAUUCUACUUAAAUGUAAGAACAUUAGGAUAGGCGGGAAACUUCUCUGCAGGUACUGUUUAUGGAUCGAACAAAAUCAAGACCAAGUAAACAAAAAAAAUAAAUAAUGAAAUAAAGAAAUAAACAAAUAAAAUAAAUUAGAAUGAGUUGUGAAACACAAUCAUAAAUUUUGUAUAAUUCUGUCAAUAUUUUUUAUAUAUAUAAAUGCCAAGGAGUGUUUCAUAUUCAUCUUGUUUCUAUCGCACUACCUAUUUUCAGCUUUUAACCGGCGUUUUGCGCUCUCAAUUUACUCACGGUUUUAACAUUAUACUCUUAUUUGUAUGCACUUAUCCAGAUGUACGAGCGCAUUCACG